UUUUGUUCUUCAGGAAAGAAGCCCGAGAGCUGCACACUCGGUUAACCCGUCAGUGCCCGGAGGGGGUCCUGGCGGACGUGUGCGGGUGACCAGGGAGCUGCGGCCAGAAUGCCGGCGCCUCUCGCUGCAGACAGGCGAGCCCGCGGGGCACGCGCUGCGCCCCCACAGGGGCAGCCUAUGUGGUCUGUAUCCGAAAUGGUGAUGCCUGAGUAUCAUUCCCCCCGUGGGGCUCUCCCAGCCCCGAGGGACUGUUGGUAAGUUGCCAGCUGUGUUUAUCCCUCGAGGUGCGUCUUUCCGGCCCUUUGUUUUACAGUCUGCCUAGGUGCACCUCUUCGCAGUGGAACUGCAGGGGAAAAGCCAUGAAGACCCGUCCGGAGCUGCCCUCCUUGAUGCGUGCGCCUACGACAGCCCCACCACCCCCACCCCCACCCCCGGACCCUCCGGACCAUAGUGGUCAUUUUCUGCAAGCAUCUGUCUUCUCUUAGAUGUCUGAAUGAUUAGCAUAUCCUGACAUGGGAAAUUUUCAUGUAAUAAAGAUUUUUUUCUCCUUUUAAA